rnacentral:snoRNA from 2 species
CCCCUCUCAGGGUCACACUUGGAGAGUUUCCAGUACUCUACCAGUCUCGGCUAGGGGAGGCAGAGACAAGCAGAAGCCUGUCCAUUCCAUUCCUAGCUUGGGCGGUGGCUAGCGAGUGGAAGGCCAUCUGCUACAAGG